ensembl:snoRNA
AACCUUUGUAGUUCAUGAGCGUGGUGAUUGGGUAUUCACGCUGUUAUGUAAGAUGUGCCUUCCCACAAUCCUUGUUAUGACAUCGGCACAUUACCCAUCUGACA